UUCUUAAUCUCAGGAUCGACCCUGCUUUCUAACUUGGGCAUUACGACGGUUAAGGCCGUAUCCAAAAUUACAAGCCUAGAGAGCAAGCUAAUAGAGACCCAAGCAAGCUUAGCUACAAUUAAUCUGCUAAUGAUCGCCACACUUAAAUUCUAGAUGGAACAAGAUUAAUAAGUUGUCAGUUGAUCAAUCUAUUCAUCACAAAUAACUGAUUAAGAUAUGAUGACUAGAGCUUUGAUGCCUCUCCCUCUUGGAACCCUAGCGGCGUCGAUUAAAGGCGCUGGGCAUGAUGGCGGCGCUAUUCUCUGCCUCCGGUCGGAUUGCCAGGCUCGUCCUGGUGUUGUCUCUCACUUGAGUGCCUGCCCACUUGGGCUUAUGAUGGUGGGACGAUCAUGUCGAUAUGACCUCCUGGGGUUUUGGCUCAGUCUCGAUUGGCUGGUGUUAAUGGGAUUCUUUCUAGCUUUGAUAGAGAUGCAAUGUCGUCUGGUGGGCGAUGUGCUGACAGAGGCCACAAAGGCAAGGCGGCUAUGAUAGAGGCUAGUGGUGCGGCGGUUGCUGCGGUGGUGGAUGACCUAACAUUGGGAAUCUGUGGGGAAGGCCGUUUUUGGACCUUCUAUUUCUCGGGGACGAUAGUGGCGGUGUGGUGGCCGGCAAGUAGGUCAGGGCUGGUUGGAUUGAUGGCCGGCUGGAAAUGGUAUCUCAGAUGGAGGCAUAGUUGUUUUGGUGGCUACCUGAGGUGCAACUAGGGUUUUCCCUAGAUGGGCUUCUUGGGCUGUUAAUUGGGCUUGGAGUGCUGCUGUUAAUUUUUGGGCUUGAUCUUCUUGGGUUCAGAAUGUUCAUUGGGUUUUUUAUUUAUUUAUUGUUUAGUUGUUGAUAGUUCCUUCCCGUUAGGGAAGGAGACUCUAGUUGUUUAGUUUGGCUCUAUUUAGAAUAAUGUCUAUGCUAGUAUAAGUAGAAGUACUUAGCUUCAACGUACCACAAUUGCGUGCUCGACGUUUGAAGUUAGGUAGAAUAUAGUGCCUACGAGGUGAAGUGUUUUUGUUAACAUAGACUACUCUGCGCUAUCAUUGUCCAAACAGAGUAGUCCAU